rnacentral:lncRNA from 1 species
CCCAUUAACACCUUGCACAUUUCUCUCUCUCGCUGCUGUGCUACCCUGAGAGACUCCUGGGGACCUUGUAAUGUGGUAUUUUGUUGUUUAGAGCACAAGGCAGCGAACUCUUCUCAUCUGAGCCCAGAAAUCCCUGGAUAGAGAGAAAGAAAACUGCUGCUUUGUUUCUUCCAAUCAAUACCAUCCAUUAAGAUCCGUGUCUAACAGAGAUGUGAGCUGCAGCUGGAGUCGGCAUCCGAGGGGCCAGCCCUGCUCUCCCCACACUCCCCGUGUGUUAUUCACAGCUGCAAAUUGCUUGGAGAUUUCUGGAAGACAUCAGAGCGGAUCAAACCUGAUUUCUCUGCAGUCCUUUUAAACGUCCCAUUGUAAAAUGGAUUAACAUUCACGGGGAUGCUCGGGGAUGAAAGGCAAGGGGAAAAAAAAAAACCCCACAUCACCAGGAGGAUGCGGUGCCUGAAGCUUCGUGCAAUUUUACCUGAAAAUGAAGCUUUUGUCAGUGUCUUUUCUCCACGAGGCUUUUCCAUUCCCUGAUGUAAUCUGAACAUUUCACUGUUUGUGUCAUUAGUGAACAAAAGGGGGAAAACGUGCUUUUUUUUUUUUUUUUUUAAAUUAAAGGGCUUUCCCCUCCUCCCCUAUAGGAAUGGUAAAAGAAUAUCAAAUUAUGGCCUGACAAGGUGCAGUUGUGAGAGAGAAUCACCAGAGUACAGCAGAUCUAUAUCUUAUCUCUCUCUGAAAUUGCCUGGCUGGGCCGUGGCACUGGGACAGGAAUUUGGAGCAUUGCAGGCUCAGAAUGAGGAGUUCAUUGGAACUAUGCAUGAACCAAUUUCAAUACUGAUGAGCUCACGGCCACACAGAUGAGCAGCAAGAGGCUGUGGGGGGAGACUGGGGAGGAUGAUUGUCCCUAAAUAGCCUAAACCUGGGCCUGCAGCUGGGUCAGGGCUGACGGGAGAUGUGGUUCUUCUUCUCCCUGUGGCCUCACCUCUCUCCUCACUCCCUGCUCGGCCCCUCUGAGGAGCAGGAGGUGACAAAGGGCACCCCAAGAUGGACAGGCUGCUGCAUCUUUGUCCCGUGGAGAAGCAGCAGAUCCAGCAGUUUCCUGUGGUUUAUUUUGGAACACGCUUGUCUGGUCUCCUUCUCUAAUCCUCCCUUUCAUAUCUGA